GAAAUGCAGUGCGAGUCCUUUGGACCUGGUGUGUGCAUUUCUUGCUCCUCAGACAUACGAUGAAUGGCUCUGCCUGGAGACGCCAUCCUUCCUACCCUGUCCGUGUUGUCUCUGUCCAUACAUGGAUCAGGGACAAGCCCUGAAUUAAUAGAGAAUGCAUUGUGCGUGUGUGUGUGUGUGUGUGUGUAUCUUUUGUUUUUUUGUACUAGGGUUUGAACCAGGGGCGCUUAACUACCAAGCCAUAUCCCCAGCCCCUUUUUAUAUGUAGAGACAGGCUCUUGAAGAGUUGCUUAGGGCCUCACUGUUGAGGCUGGCUUUGAACUUGCCAUCCUCCUGCCUCAGCCUCCCAAGCUGCUAGGAUUAUAGUCAUGCAUCACGGCGCCCUGCUGCAUUGCAUACCUUUAAGUUUCUGAGUAACCUCACAUCUGUUUUUUUCUUUCAUCAAAUAGAAGCAAGAUCUCUCGCCUUUUCUUUUGGCAGUACUCAUUGAGAUGAUGCCUAGUGUCGAUUUUUUUUUUUCCAAUGUGGGGACUCAAGAGAGCAGUGGAUCAAAAGUCUACACACCUGGGUUGUAAUCUGCCAUUUUUGUGGCCUCAAGAAAAAAAAAAAAAUCUCUGCAUUUCAGGAUCCUUCUCUGUAAAUCAGAGCUGAUACUACUUUCCUGGCCUGUCUUGCAAAGUACAGCUGAGGUUUCAGCAAGGAAGGUGGAUGUAAAUCACGUUAUAGAUGUCAAGGUUGGUUUUGGUGGCAGACAAUACAUUACACAUUUAUCACCUUCCUUAGGAUAGAAAGUUCUCAGGGUAAUCGUCUGGCCUGGGUCCCUGGGUUGUACCCGCAGAAUGCAUGACCCAUCGUUCCUCUCAUCGGAUAAAGUUAUAGACAGACACAGGCUAUUGUAGGAGGAAUGACGUCCUCCCACGUCCUAAGCUCCAGACCCCGUGAACAUGUUAGGCUGCAUGGAAAGGGCACAUCAGGGUUGCUGAUGGGAUUACAGUUGCUGAUCAGUUCACCUUGAGACGGGGAGAUUUUCUGUAUUAUCUGGGUGGCGCAAUGUCCUUGCAAAGAUCCUUACAGGUGCAAGGGGGAGGCAGAAAAGAGGAGAGCCGAGAGGUGGGAGUGUGAGGAAGACUUGCUGGCUUUGCAGAUGGAGAAGGGGCCACGAGCCUAAGGAUGCAGGGUCCUCUGAAAUCUGAAAGGGACCAGGCAUGGAUUCUCUCUAGAGCUUCCAGAACAGGCUGUGGCCCUGUGCAUACCUCGCUGUUCAUCCAUGUUCAAGUUCUAAGCUACGGAACUGGCAGUCAUUUGAGUGGCUUUAAGCCACCACGUCGGAGGUGGUUUAUCACAGCAGAGACACAAAAC
rnacentral:lncRNA from 1 species